rnacentral:rRNA from 1 species
CCUACGGGUGGCUGCAGUGGGGAAUAUUGGACAAUGGGCGAAAGCCUGAUCCAGCCAUGCCGCGUGUGUGAAGAAGGCCUUCGGGUUGUAAAGCACUUUCAGUGGGAAGAAAGCCUUGGGGCUAAUACCCUCGAGGAAGGACAUCACCCACAGAAGAAGCACCGGCUAACUCCGUGCCAGCAGCCGCGGUAAUACGGAGGGUGCGAGCGUUAAUCGGAAUUACUGGGCGUAAAGCGCGCGUAGGCGGUCUGAUAAGCCGGUUGUGAAAGCCCCGGGCUCAACCUGGGAACGGCAUCCGGAACUGUCAGGCUAGAGUGCAGGAGAGGAAGGUAGAAUUCCCGGUGUAGCGGUGAAAUGCGUAGAGAUCGGGAGGAAUACCAGUGGCGAAGGCGGCCUUCUGGACUGACACUGACGCUGAGGUGCGAAAGCGUGGGUAGCAAACAGGAUUAGAUACCCCAGUAGUC